CCAAGAGCUGAGAGAGUGAUGGGUCCUCCUUCAGAAUAAGUUGUAGAUCCUUGAUGAUGCCAUCAAAAGAUGGCGAUCAGUGCAUCGCUUUUUCAUUUUAACCCCCCCCCCCGUUUUUUUGUUUUUUUUUUUUUUUAAAGCAGGUGUCCCACACAGGCUAGACUUUGCUGGGCCCCGUUACGGGGAACCCCAGUGAGGAGCGCGUCAGAGGAAGGAUCUGCUGCCAGCCAUCACAGUCACCAGGAACACCUGUCCGGAGAGAGCCGCGGCCAGGCGCGGAGUUCCGCUCCCCACCCCCUGCACGGAGCUGCGCGCGCCCCGCGCUGGGGAGCAGGCGGCUGACGCCAGGCCCCUGCAGGGAGCUGGACCCCGCUCUUCCGGGGGCUCCCUGCGCGCAAGGGGAUGCUCGGCGCUGGGUCUACCCGCCGGGCGAGCCAGAGGCAGUUCGGCACUUCCCAGGUCAAUGAAGCUGUACAUCUUACAUAUUCCAAUACGACACCAAAGGUGAGACUCAUUCCUGCUCCAGCCCUUUACACCAGGUAAAGGGGCUAAAGUAGUUCUACAAAGUUCUGGAUCCAGCCAGGAGAGAAUUUCCUUAGUGAAGGAACUGAGGAAGACAGUCACAGGCUGCUUUUUGAAGAUCUCCAUGAAAGCCCUGGCAUAGCAGGGUUUGCCUUUGGUCCACAGUUAAAAGGACACACAACAGCAGUGGAGCACUGAAUGGAUGCAGCAGAACAAAUGUAAAGGACGGAAGUUAUUGCAAUUAUAUAAAAAAUGGAGAAAGGGGGGAGAUGCAAACGCCCUUCUGCGAAAUAACCCUCUAUCUUUUAUGCAUACUCAGUGCACAUUUCCUAUACUUAAAGUAUAUGAAAAGUGUACGAAUAUAAAACUAGUGUGGUUUCUUUCUUUUUUUUUUUUUUUUUUUUAAAGAAACAGGUGACAAGAGAAGAGCGAGGAGGAGACAGAGAAAGCAGGGGACAGAAGGAGAAAUAUUACAGGGGAGCAACUCCGCUGACUCCAGUGGAAUCACACUGGUGCAGAGGAACCCAGUUUAAAGAGAAGAGAGGGUUUUCCUUUUUAACAACAGCGCUUGCCAGAAGUUUAAAAAAAAGUCUCAGAACUGAAACACUCUUCUAAAAAGGAGAGUCAGAUUUCACGAUUCAGAUUUUGAGUGACCUUGCUCAUCUUACAAAUCAGAAAGCUAUGGAAUUAUCUCAGAACCUAUGUUUUCCUUCCCCCUUUAGUGCUAUAAAUUCAAGACAAAAGUAUGCAGAUAGCAUGAAGAUAUUCCACAAUAAAUGAAGGGGUCCUAUACCUCUUUUGAAGGAACCCGGGAGCCUUUCCUUUUAUUCCACCAUGUUUCCAGCAUUGCAAUGAAACAGGAGAGGACAAUCCCAGCAGCCAGGAUACAAAACACCCCUGCAAAGCUCUUUAUGUCCAGGGCACCUCCUUUCUGUUUGGUAUCCACUGAUGAGUAUAGGUCACACUGACCAUUCUUCGGCCACCACUUAUGCUUCAGUAUAUCCAUGUCUCCAUUUUGCUGAAGUUCUAAAAUCCUUGGGGAGAAAACACAGAAUCACCGGUUAUGUCAAUGACAACUGAAGUCUACAUUUGUACAAUUGAAAACAUAGAAGUGGUUGAGAACAUGACCAUACCACUAUUCCAUCCCAUGUGUGUGGACGGCAAAAUAGAUGAGUAUAAAAGGGAUGACUAAUAAGCCAGAGGAGGAAGUUUCUUGGCUGGAAUACUGGGCAUGGUGCCCACCCCCGUAUUUCUUUUUCUUCUUUUAAUUACCCUCAGUGGAAGUUAUGUGUAUUUCUAAAUGCAUUUCAAACACAGAAUAGCAUAUUCCUUUUUUCUUGCUAGCCAAUUUCUGUAAUUUGGGCUUGUUACAUACAGAGUAAUAUUUUGGGCUUUAUUAGUUUGAAAAGAAACAAUUUGCUUUGCAAAGCAAGGACAUUGCCAGACUGUGCCCUGGCAAAUUUGACUCAAAAAGGGAAAGUUAGUUUGGAAGAUUCAUUUAAAAUUCCACUUAAGACCGUUCUUAAGCAGUUUGGGUCCAUAUUGCCUUAGUGAGAGCCUCUCCUCCCUGAGCGAGUCGGUGGCAGCUGCAAUCAGUUAAGGUUCUUGAGUUCACAUACCUCCACUCCAGGAAGUGGCUGGUGGCAGGGCAGGGGACUUUGAAGUAAGGGUCUUUUCUCCCACCCUUGCUCUAAAAGACCAUGAAUUUAUUGGUUAAGCUACAAGGCCCAUAUAUUUUGCCAGGCCUUUCAUGGAAGGAGAGAUAUGGGUUGAAAGGGGAGAAAUUUAUUCUGAGAGGAUCUUUUUUGUGCUUAUUGAUCCAAACGAACCUUUAAUUAACCAAAAUAAAUAAUUCAGUAAUUACAUUUCUAAAACUGAUAAAAUAAAAUGGAAUUUCCCCCCAACGCAAAUUAUCUGUGUUUCUUACUAACGUUGGCAGGAAAACUAAUCAGUUGCAUGGUCAUUUGAAAAACACUAUGCAAAAAACAAAGCACAUACACACAUGCAAAGUGCUGGAACUUUCUCAUUCAAAACCCGUUCAAACAUUUUGGCCUUUGUACUUUUAUCUUUGUGAAUUACACUAUAUGCCAGAUACAUAAACCAGUAAUGGAAAAACAGUAUGGGGGCUGACUGUUUUGUUCUCAGUGGCAGCUCUACGCCCUGAGCAAUGCUAUUUUCUUCCUUUUCUUUGGUCGGUAAUAGACAAACAUCUGGAAUGAAUGUGCUAUCCUCAUUAAUUAAAUGAUUUUCCAUUUGUCAGUAUAAUUCCUGAUUAUACAAGACAUCUUCUUAAACAAUAGAAAUUUGCUACAAAUAUCAACCUUUAGCUUGUUCUGUAAGACAGCAGUUCAUUCCGAAUUGUAUCCCUGGUAAUGAUUUUAAUUAAUGAGCAAUCAUCUAUAAGGUUAGUAGCUUUAAGGAAAUCAUUAAAAAAAUUAAGCAAAACUAGGAAUACCAACUAUACAACUUUAUACAGCAGGUGUAGAAAUGAAGAAAGCUCAUUACAAAAUUCAUGUAAAACUGCAGUUGAAAUGGAAAAUGUAUACAUCAAG